CCUACGGGUGGCUGCAGUGGGGAAUAUUGGACAAUGGGGGGAACCCUGAUCCAGCCAUGCCGCGUGUGUGAAGAAGGCCCUCGGGUUGUAAAGCACUUUCAGUGAGGAAGAACGCCUUGUGGUUAAUACCCAUCAGGAAAGACAUCACUCACAGAAGAAGCACCGGCUAACUCCGUGCCAGCAGCCGCGGUAAUACGGAGGGUGCGAGCGUUAAUCGGAAUUACUGGGCGUAAAGCGCGCGUAGGUGGCUUGAUAAGCCGGUUGUGAAAGCCCCGGGCUCAACCUGGGAACGGCAUCCGGAACUGUCAAGCUAGAGUGCAGGAGAGGAAGGUAGAAUUCCCGGUGUAGCGGUGAAAUGCGUAGAGAUCGGGAGGAAUACCAGUGGCGAAGGCGGCCUUCUGGACUGACACUGACACUGAGGUGCGAAAGCGUGGGUAGCAAACAGGAUUAGAUACCCCAGUAGUC
rnacentral:rRNA from 1 species